GUGUAAGAGACCACCAGCGCGCCGGGUGACCGGUGCGGCUCGGUAAACCCCGUCCGGAGCAAGGCCAUGCAGGGCGCGUUCGAGGGCUGCUCGCCCGAGCGUCCGGGUAGGCUGCUCGAGCCGUGCGGCAACGCACGGCCUAGAUGGAUGGUCGUCACCGCGGUGCGGGCAACCGGCCGCGGCACAGAACCCGGCUCACAGGCCCACCUGUCCA
rnacentral:RNase_P_RNA from 1 species